rnacentral:lncRNA from 1 species
AAUUUUUCGGUAAAUGCUUUAUAUACUGAAGCCUAUGAUCUUUAGUGUUGUUUUAAAAUUUCUAAACACAUUCUACAUUUUUAUUAAUGUAUAUUAAACUCUCUUUCAUGGUACAUGGACAUCUUUUAAAUUUUUGUUAAUUAGUUUAGUAAAACUUCAUAAUACUCCCUAAAUUGGUUGACUAACCAUUAUAAAAUCGCAAUUGUCUAGAAAAACGGAGACAACAAAGGUUCC